rnacentral:lncRNA from 1 species
GUAAUACAAGAUACACCUGAAAUUUCCUCCCCUAGACAACUGUUAAAAGCACAGGAGGCCCAUCUUUUUCCCUCAGUGGGCCUGUAACUGAAGACCAGGAUAACCAAGGAACUGACCUCCAGUGAAGCAUUUGUGCACUUUGUUGUGAUACACUGCUAGUGGUUGCUACAACAAUAUCAAGAGCAAAGGAUUUCUCAUCAAGCAAAAAGCUAUUCAGAAGGAACAAUACGGUAUCUAUUUGUUUCAUCUCAUUGGACCACUUCUAAUUCUCCUAAUACCUGGUAUUAUAGUUAAGUUGUCCAGACUUCAAAUCAUAGUUUGGUUCUGAUCACUUCAGCUGAGCAUGCAAGUCUUCUGAGCAGGUAAGACAUAUUCCUUGUUCUUGUAGUCUUCCCUUCCCCCUUACCUUUAAAGCCCUAUUGGAGUACCAUAAGUUGGAGGUAACUUGAUGGCUUGUAACAACAACAUAACAAUUCAGAUGCCUAUUGGUCUGUAGUUAGGUAAAGGUAAAGGUUCCCCUUGACAAUUUUUUUUGUCCAGUCGUGUUUGACUCUAGGGGGCGGAGCUCAUCCCCGUUUCCAAGCCAUAGAGCCAGCGUUUUGUCCGA